rnacentral:lncRNA from 1 species
GGUGGACAUUGUACUCUUCCAGGAAAAGACGAUUCUCGAUAAGGCUCCAACAAAGAAACAUGAAAGACAGGAUGUACCUUCAUAGUAGCUGGUAACUCCAGACGAUACGCUACAGGAUUGAUCUGCUUCUGGAUAACAAAUGGUCCCAAUCUCCGAUAGUCCAAUUUGUCACAUGGCCGCUUCGUCUUAAUAUUUCGUCGAAGCAGCCAAACUUUGUCUCCAAUCGUGAAUUUA